rnacentral:rRNA from 1 species
UAUGUUAUUAUUCUUCGUUGGUUCGUUAAAAAUGGAUAAAUAAAAACUUUGCAUACAAGAAUUAAUAAAAAUGUUAUAACGAAUUUAAUUAAAUGUUUUAUCAUUAUAUAUAAAGAAUUUAUGGCAAGAUAAAGUUAUAUACAACCUCAACUCAUAUGGGACUACCCCCUGAAUUUAAGCAUAUUAAUUAGGGGAGGAAAAGAAACUAACAAGGAUUUUCUUAGUAGCGGCGAGCGAAAAGAAAACAGUUCAGCACUAAGUCACUUUGUCUAUAUGGCAAAUGUGAGAUGCAGUGUAUGGAGCGUCAAUAUUCUAGUAUGAGAAAUUAACGAUUUAAGUCCUUCUUAAAUGAGGCCAUUUACCCAUAGAGGGUGCCAGGCCCGUAUAACGUUAAUGAUUACUAGAUGAUGUUUCCAAAGAGUCGUGUUGCUUGAUAGUGCAGCACUAAGUGGGUGGUAAACUCCAUCUAAAACUAAAUAUAACCAUGAGACCGAUAGUAAACAAGUACCGUGAGGGAAAGUUGAAAAGAACUCUGAAUAGAGAGUUAAACAGUACGUGAAACUGCUUAGAGGUUAAGCCCGAUGAACCUGAAUAUCCGUUAUGGAAAAUUCAUCAUUAAAAUUGUAAUAUUUAAAUAAUAUUAUGAGAAUAGUGUGCAUUUUUUCCAUAUAAGGACAUUGUAAUCUAUUAGCAUAUACCAAAUUUAUCAUAAAAUAUAACUUAUAGUUUAUUCCAAUUAAAUUGCUUGCAUUUUAACACAGAAUAAAUGUUAUUAAUUUGAUAAAGUGCUGAUAGAUUUAUAUGAUUACAGUGCGUUAAUUUUUCGGAAUUAUAUAAUGGCAUAAUUAUCAUUGAUUUUUGUGUUUAUUAUAUGCACUUGUAUGAUUAACAAUGCGAAAGAUUCAGGAUACCUUCGGGACCCGUCUUGAAACACGGACCAAGGAGUCUAACAUAUGUGCAAGUUAUUGGGAUAUAAACCUAAUAGCGUAAUUAACUUGACUAAUAAUGGGAUUAGUUUUUUAGCUAUUUAUAGCUAAUUAACACAAUCCCGGGGCGUUCUAUAUAGUUAUGUAUAAUGUAUAUUUAUAUUAUUUAUGCCUCUAACUGGAACGUACCUUGAGCAUAUAUGCUGUGACCCGAAAGAUGGUGAACUAUACUUGAUCAGGUUGAAGUCAGGGGAAACCCUGAUGGAAGACCGAAACAGUUCUGACGUGCAAAUCGAUUGUCAGAAUUGAGUAUAGGGGCGAAAGACCAAUCGAACCAUCUAGUAGCUGGUUCCUUCCGAAGUUUCCCUCAGGAUAGCUGGUGCAUUUUAAUAUUAUAUAAAAUAAUCUUAUCUGGUAAAGCGAAUGAUUAGAGGCCUUAGGGUCGAAACGAUCUUAACCUAUUCUCAAACUUUAAAUGGGUAAGAACCUUAACUUUCUUGAUAUGAAGUUCAAGGUUAUGAUAUAAUGUGCCCAGUGGGCCACUUUUGGUAAGCAGAACUGGCGCUGUGGGAUGAACCAAACGUAAUGUUACGGUGCCCAAAUUAACAACUCAUGCAGAUACCAUGAAAGGCGUUGGUUGCUUAAAACAGCAGGACGGUGAUCAUGGAAGUCGAAAUCCGCUAAGGAGUGUGUAACAACUCACCUGCCGAAGCAACUAGCCCUUAAAAUGGAUGGCGCUUAAGUUGUAUACCUAUACAUUACCGCUAAAGUAGAUGAUUUAUAUUACUUGUGAUAUAAAUUUUGAAACUUUAGUGAGUAGGAAGGUACAAUGGUAUGCGUAGAAGUGUUUGGCGUAAGCCUGCAUGGAGCUGCCAUUGGUACAGAUCUUGGUGGUAGUAGCAAAUAAUCGAAUGAGACCUUGGAGGACUGAAGUGGAGAAGGGUUUCGUGUGAACAGUGGUUGAUCACGAGUUAGUCGGUCCUAAGUUCAAGGCGAAAGCCGAAAAUUUUCAAGUAAAACAAAAAUGCCUAACUAUAUAAACAAAGCGAAUUAUAAUACACUUGAAUAAUUUUGAACGAAAGGGAAUACGGUUCCAAUUCCGUAACCUGUUGAGUAUCCGUUUGUUAUUAAAUAUGGGCCUCGUGCUCAUCCUGGCAACAGGAACGACCAUAAAGAAGCCGUCGAGAGAUAUCGGAAGAGUUUUCUUUUCUGUUUUAUAGCCGUACUACCAUGGAAGUCUUUCGCAGAGAGAUAUGGUAGAUGGGCUAGAAGAGCAUGACAUAUACUGUUGUGUCGAUAUUUUCUCCUCGGACCUUGAA